rnacentral:lncRNA from 10 species
AGGCUCCCCACGGGGAUGAGGCUGCAGUACUUACCUGCCCAUAGGGCUGUUUAGAGUGUAGAUGCAUUGCUUGAAUGGCUAUUUGGUCUCUAGUCUUCAGGUUAAUGUGGUUUGUCUCACAGGCUCUCUACAACCUUGCACCUCGACGUGUGGUCUGUGGACCAGGAACAUUGUCAUCACCUGGAAGCUUCUUGGAAACGUAAAAUCCUAGGCCACCUCCCAGACCGAUGGAAGCCACAUCGGCAUUUUAACCAGACACCCUGGUGAUUCCAUGGUGCAUUCUUAUCCACAUUAAAUUUUGACACCCCAUAAAAACUCACUCUUCU